rnacentral:rRNA from 1 species
CCUACGGGAGGCAGCAGUGGGGAAUAUUGGACAAUGGGCGAAAGCCUGAUCCAGCCAUGCCGCGUGUGUGAAGAAGGCCUUCGGGUUGUAAAGCACUUUCAGUGGGGAAGAAAGCCUUGGGGCUAAUACCCUCGAGGAAGGACAUCACCCACAGAAGAAGCACCGGCUAACUCCGUGCCAGCAGCCGCGGUAAUACGGAGGGUGCGAGCGUUUAUCGGAAUUACUGGGCGUAAAGCGCGCGUAGGCGGUCUGAUAAGCCGGUUGUGAAAGCCCCGGGCUCAACCUGGGAACGGCAUCCGGAACUGUCAGGCUAGAGUGCAGGAGAGGAAGGUAGAAUUCCCGGUGUAGCGGUGAAAUGCGUAGAGAUCGGGAGGAAUACCAGUGGCGAAGGCGGCCUUCUGGACUGACACUGACGCUGAGGUGCGAAAGCGUGGGUAGCAAACAGGAUUAGAUACCCCGGUAGUC